rfam:Mobiluncus mulieris ATCC 35239 genomic scaffold SCAFFOLD1, whole genome shotgun sequence.
GGGGAUGAUCGGUUUCGACGGUCGGUGAUGUCCUGAGAGAAGCGGGUCGAGGAGGUAUCCUCAGCUCGGAAACGCUGGAUACGAAACAAUAAGUGCUGAACGUAACAGUACUGAAUCCCUCGCCUUGGCUGCUUAACCCAAGGGAGCUUGAUUCCGUCAGUCCGCAGUUGCUCUAGCUGCGGGGGCUGGCGUCGUUUUUAGAGCCACUGGAACCACCCGGGUUACUUGGGCGGGUUCGAGAUUUUAGGUAACUUUAGCCGGUGACAGCCCUGUCUGUGGGUGGCCACCGGCCGAGAAUCUAAAGCAGACUGCACCCGGAGAAGAAGCAGGCUUGGUCGAUCGGACGGGGGUUCAAUUCCCCCCAUCUCCACUA